ensembl:lncRNA
GACUUACAUUUUUCUUCAGGAUGUGUGCUUUAUGAUUGGUUGCCGUAUGAUUGGUUUCCCUCAUUCUGUCUUCCAUUUUUUGAACAAAAGGACUAACCCCAAACUCCAAAAAUGAUCUUUCUCUCUCCAUCUCGCUCUUCCUCCCUCAAGCUGUACAGGGAAGUUAAUUUGGUGAUGAUGGCAACGGAGGUCCUGGGAGGCUAAUAGCUUUUCCAGCGACUCGGCGAGUGAAGGCACGGCGAGGGAAUAAAUUCGCUGUGAUUCCUGUAAUUGAUGGCGCCCUUGUCACAGAGGGAGAAAUGAAACCACCUGCGGACUGAGAGGAUCUUCAUCGCCUGAUUUCAAUGCAAAUCAUUUAUACUCAAGCUGAUUUCUGCUUAUUGAUCAGUUCAGCGACUAAAAGAGAGACAUUUGUCAAGAUAACGUGAG